UAAGUCGGGUUAUCUUUUGUCUUUAUCACUUCAUAAAGUAGCGCAAUUAAAGAUGUGAUGUUGCAUGGGUAUAAAGGGUGGGUCCAUAAUACACCGACAUAAUACACUGUGUUCUCGCCUGGAAGUUUGCAGCUAAGUUACGAUUUCGCUUUUUCUAGACUUAAAAAAAUCAAUAUUUUCUCAAUUAAAGAGAAUUUUAAUGCUUUACUUGCGAGUUGUUAAAGGCGCUGUAAAUUUUAUUGUAAUGCUUCUUGGCUUCAGAGUAGGUGCAGGAGGAGACCGGUUGAUUCACGUGGUCUUUUUCCUCUCAAAGAUCCUAGCCCAGGAGCAUCCCGUGUGUCAGAUCAAACCCCAGCAACAAAGGUAAGGAGGGUUCCCAGAGGGACUUAGCAAAGGGUGGGAGCCCGCCAGGGGAGCCCUCCAGCGCCAGAGGCCAUUGUCUUGUAUAUUUUCACCUCUCUGUGUCCGCCUCCUGAAAGUGACAGAAGUGUCCAUUUUACUCUAAUCUUUCUCAAAGAGGAGCACCGUUUGACUCCCAUCUGCUCCAUGAUGGUCAGGGAAAGAAAGCUAAACUGGGGGAGCAUUUUGUCUCUUCCCAACUCCCCCCCCCACCCCGUUUCUCUUUCCUUUCCUUAUUUCACGAAAAUUUAACUCGGAACUGGUCCUCUCACAAAUUCUGCCAUAUUUUAUAUGUGUUCUGGUCUCUAGGUCAGAACCCACUCCCCACCCUCAAGAGCAGCACUGUUUACAGAUGUUUUCUCCUUCCACACGUCCCACCUAGUAAAAGUUGCCACAGAGAAUUAACUGUGGUGUGUUAAUAGCCCAGGUCUGCUACUGCUCUCUCCUGCAAAGUUGAAAUCUGGUAAGGCGAAGAGUGGCAUUGAACUAAACUUGGAGAGCUGCUCCAGGCCGGCAGAAGCCCUAAGACUUGAGAAGUCCAGGCCCAGGGACUUGGUGGGAAGCAAGGUAGUAAAACUUUUAGAUUGCAAGGUGGAGAGGAGGAUAAGAAAAUGUGGCUAGAAUGGUACCUAAUAAGAGAAGUAUAGGGCAAGGCAGAAAAAUGAGCCUUUGUAAUUUAGAAAGAAGUAAUAAUGAAGGCAAAUCGAAAUACCUAAGGCUUGCUAUUAAUUUUUUUUUUUUAACCUAGUGUCUAAGAACAAGUCCUCAGAGAUGCCAGGGAGGGCCUGAGUUUCCAAAUGGAACUACUCACAAAGUUCCUUUGCAGUUCCCUCUUCAGUUAAUUUGCUGGGAAUGAGAAGACCCGGGAAAGGGCUCUGUGUGUGGUGCACCCAGAGCUGAAGUAAGGGUAUGGUGAGAAGGGGCACCUAGCUAUAAUGAGGCUGCUGUUUUAAGUUUGAAUAGAGAAGGGGGAAUAGAGAAAAAGCCACACAACAUCACAACACACUUUAAAAUAAUUCUCACCUGCCUGCCUUUCUUUUUCACUUUAACCACACACUCUAUCAAAUAUUACACAUUGGUGGGGGAAAUUUCUGGUUCAUCAUCUUUUGUCCGCAGACCCACCGGAUUGAUCCAGCUUCCCUUAGAUUCCUGACAUGUAAGCCUAGACCAUGGCCUUUUUAUCAAAAACCCCCCACCCCGCGUCACCAACCCUACUCUUUGGGGACUCUCUGGGAUGGGACCCAGGGACCUCAGGGAACCAGCGCUCCUGGGGCAAGGCUAAGGCAGCCCGGUCUGGUGGCAGUGAAGUGAUGCCUCAGUCGGCUUGUGUUUGAAGAACUGCUGGGGUUAUUGUGACAAGUGAGGGCAAAGAAGGGAAAACAGAAGCAAAGAAAACCAUCUCAAAAGCCUUGGAUUUGCUGCUGUUAAAAGGCUGCUGUUCAUUUCUGAUUUGCUCAUCUUUUGCUACAAAGGAAAAAGAAAUCUAAUGAUGUGUCUACAUUUGAUGAGAAGAAAACAGUAACAACAACAGCGAAGGUGCACUUGUUUUAUUUUCUUUUUCCCUGAAAAAAAUUUUUAAUAUCCACCAGUUUAGCAAGUUGAAAGCUGUGGAGAUGUAAAAAAAGAUGUUCGCUUGUCCACAUCUAUUCACUGACUUUCAUCACUGGAAUUUUGCAGAAUCGCGUGUCAAAUUGAAAUUAUGGGAAAGAGAAUUAGACACUUGCCAAGGAACAGCAAUAUUAUACACUUUCAAGUAAGCGCCACCUAAUCCUGUAUUUGAGUGCUGAGGGGGUGUGUGCUAUUUUCCCCUAAUAAACCUGAAAGCCCUCAUUAGACAUAAAGAGGGGUGAGAACUCUAUUACUGGGCACUCUGACAAAAAUGGAAACAGUGCAUCUCUGCUCCUAGAGUCCAAGGAAAGGACACCCCGAAAAAACGCCAAGCCCUUGUGUUUUCCUUUAGAGCCCUGAGUUGGGCAGAAUUCAGAGAAAUCAACAUUUUAGAAAGCAAAAUGUUGAAACGGAGGGCGGUGGUUAGCCAAUAAAUAAAUAAACCAGGCUAGAAAUUAUUCUUCAAACCCUGCAAAUUUCCAGAUGCCCCAGAAAAUCAAUGCAAGACGCGCCCCCUCCGAGCCUAAGAUCGACAGCUCUCCUGCCAGGAAUGUUUCCAGUUUAAAAUGGAGUUGGAGAUUCCACCUCUUGGAGCACUGAGAGCCUUACCCUUUGGCCACCCUCGGAAGGGGAGGGGGGUCCCCCCACCCUCACCCACACUCCCCACCUGUUCCCUCCUCCCUUCGCUAGGUUGCUGGGGCAGGGGACAGGCAAGGGGCUGGGGUGAUUGCGACCCCGAACCUCCAGGGGGUAAGGAGAGCUGAGGUUUCGACCACACCCAGGAGGACACCCCACCAGGCCCCCAGAGGCCAGAAGAUCCUCGCCAAAGAGGAGAACCCCAUCCAAGGCAGGCACAGCUGCCUGUGCCCAGGUGGGACAAAAGGCUCCUACAGGCGAAACUGGUCCCCAAGCAAGUGUGCAAUGCUAUGGAGCAGGACACUGUCCACCAUCACUAGGGGUGUGUGUGUGUGUGUGUGUGUGUGUGUGUGUGUGUGUGUGUGUGAGACUGACUCGGUGCACUUGGUGCUGGUCUCUGGCCAAAGAUGUCAGCGGGGGAUAUUCACCUAUGCUACUUGGGGGGUCCGACCCCAUACCCCUAUCCCCCACUUCCGCCUCCCCCACCGCAGCAGCUCCCCAAACCCUAGGCACGCCUGCACAGGUGUGGUGCCUUUAACUGGAAAGUGCCUGAGAUCCACCCAGGAAUUGCGGCAAGGGGUGUGAGGGUAGGGAGGAUGGGGGGAUGGAAAGAAAGAUGGGGCUUUUGGAGCUCAGACAUCCCUGUCUUCCAGUAAUUGUCAUCACACUCAAUCUUUUCACCCUGACCUGCGGUAUCCAAAAAAAGCAGAGAUGGAUUCAUGGGAAAAUCGGGUUUACAAAAACGUCGGGGGGUGGACGCGGGCUCUGGGGACCUGCGCAGGCUUUGCUUAGAUUCAAAAGUAUGAUUUUAAUUUUCCUAAUGAAGGCGCGCUCUGGAGCUCAGCUGGUAAUGGCUGUGCCGAGUUUAAUAGACUUCUGUCGAACAGAAAAAGACGGAUAACUAUCGGUUAUAAGUAAUCUGCUCUAAUGCAAUUAUUUUUCUAGGUUUGAAUGUCAUUGUGUGGAGAGGGCAGGAGUGAAUUAGGGCCCCGGGGAGCGCGGACGCGGGGCUAGGAAUCGGCCUGAAAUACGAGCCCAACCUGUUUUGUGAGAUGCACUUGGGUUUGGAGGUCGGGGUCGAGGGCUUCAAAGUCCUGGGUGUGCACGUGUGAAAAUCUCUCUUGUCUCUGUCUGGGUCUCUAUCCACCCCCCCCCAUCUUCCCCUCCCUCCUCCUUCCUUCAUUCUUCCUUCUUUCCUCUAGGCUUUCUCUUCCCCUUUCUCCUCAUCUCUCCCAGGGUUAAUGUGAAUUUCCUUUUCUCCUCCUCUGUUUUGUGUCUUUACAUAUUUCAGGCAGAUCCAUUAGGUCCAGAGUAUUUCUCCAAAACACAGUCACACAGAAGUAGGCUCUUGGUCGGUGUCAACCAUUCACCGUGGAAAUCCAAUAGAAUUGGGAUGUUUUAAGAUCUUGAUGACAUGCUGUAAUAUAUCAGUGGGAUUAUUUCUAGCCAAAUACAGAGCCAGUCCAGGUCACUAUCCAAAAGUAACCCCAUCUUUGCUCUACCACAAAUUGUCAUGCGUGGUAGUUUUUAUUUGGAAUUAUCCACACUCUUCUUAGCUCUCUACAUCACUUUGCCUGGUAAACACAGCAUCAGACAAAAAGGAACUUUAAAAAAAUAAAAAUAACAUGAUUCGUAAUUUCCAUUUUUACAGAAAACAAACUGAAUCAGUGGAAGGAAAGCCUCGAACUUUCACCUGAAGGAUGGGUUUGAGAGCAUGCAGACCUGCAGGCCAAGGGGUGAGUGCUGGGCAGGACCCUGGAGCCCAGCUCUCCUGGCUGAACCCCUGCACCCAGCCACUCCAGCCCCACUUCCUCCACCAACCUCUCCCUCUGGGUCCUAGGGAACAAAGAAAGUUCUUGGGAUUGACUAAAAGGGUUAAAUUUACCCUGAAUUAUAAGUGUCUUAGCUGGAUCUGGUGUAUCUCUGACUGACCUGGCCUAUAGUUCUUGUGCUCACUCUUUCUCUCUCAUCCCCCCCUCUGUUAUACACGCAGACACACAGACACACACACACACUCACUCGUGCACAGAAAGCACACUGACUUCUCUGACUCAGUCAUACCCCAUUCUCUCUUGCCUCUGCAGCAACUCUUCAAAAAAAGAGAAAGGAAAAAUAUCAAAACAAAAACAUAUCUGCAAAACCCUUCUGGUCUCUCUGGCUGAGGAAGAGUGUAGUCACUGACCCACAAGGUGCCUGGCAGGAAGACAUCCACCUGCAGGGUGAGGGUUACAAGAGGUGGCCAUUUUCCCCUUCCUCCCUGACCCUGGCUGCUGAGAAGGGAAUGAGGAAGAAAUCCAUCUUCACGUCCCAACCACGCCCGGGACUUAGAGAAGCAGAACAGGGCAGGCACCUCCUAGCUGCAUAGGUGUGACUGUCAAGGGUCCCACACUGGCAGGCAGAAAGUCUGCCACCAGAAGAGUCAUUCCCCAACUUCUUUGGCCCUCAGCCUACAGCACCCCUUAAAGCUGGAGAAAGUUGAUAGGCGAUGCUCAGCCCGCUCCAGCAAGUUUCCCCUCUAUCAGUCUCUGCUAGGAUGGGGCAUCAGGGCCGGUUGGUGCCACGGAUAGAAGGCCCACUUCUAUCUCCAGGAACAGAUUGGAAACCGAGAAAAGGGUGACUGUCCCUCUGCCCUCCCUUCAAGGGACUCCUUUAGGAAAACGGCUGUGUUGUAUUGAUGACCUAAGAGAGUAACAGCAAAGACCCAGGAAAGUCACCACAAGCUUUAGGUGGGUCGAAUUCUGCUUAGGAAAAGUUGCUGGGAGAAGAGAGGAGAGAGACUAUAUUACCCAACAGUGAGUUUUCCAAGACCCCCCACCCCAGCCAAACAAGGUUGAGAAGGGCUUGAGAGAGAGAGCCAACAACCGUCCCUACUCCCCAGGAAGAAAUCUAGCCAGAGUAAGAAUCACAGCCUCCAAACCGAGAACUCCUUACAGAGAUGUCUUGGUGUCCCAGCCUUGGCCUGCUGGUCCAAAGUUUGUGAGCUCUCUCAGUCCAGUGUCACCCCUGAAGCAACAGAUUAGACUCGGUCUGGGGAAACAUCAGGAGGCCUUGUUAAGGAAUUAAGUUUACUUUUCUCUCAUUUACUCCCCUAUUUGAAACAUCAAUAGAAAAAGCAAAACAAAAUUUUUGCAGUAAAUCAAAUGUGUAAUGAUAGUCACACAGAAUUAAGGUGGAAAAAAAAAUAAGGUGUAAACUGUGCUAAAGCAUUUUUAAAGGACUGCUCUGAACAGAGCAUGCUCUUAGGAAACACAACACUUAAAUAAAUAUAAGCUUUAAGGAUAAAGAACUUUUAGAGUGCCUGGGAGUUCCCUCGUGGCUCAGUGGGUUAAGGAUCCAGCAUUGUCAGUGCAGCUGCCCAGGUUGGGCUCAUUCCUAGUCCGAGAACUUCCACGUGCUGCCAAAAAAAAGAGUGCCCAACGUCCCCUUACAUUACCUUCAUAUAAAUAUAAAUGGGGAGGAGUCUCAAUGAGGAGAAUCAAAUGAUAAAGGCUCCUAAAACAAAUUAUCUGAUACACAAAAUUAACACAGCAUUGCAUCCUUAAGGCAAGUUAGAGGCAAAUCGCUGACUGCAAAGUUAAGCUUUUCCUGCUUAUUCAUUGAUCCAGGUCUCUUCAUUCUAAUACAGAUUGAAUAAUCUGCUCAAAGGGGUGAUGUGGCCCACCGACCACAGAGCCAGGGCAGUUGUUUAUACUUGAAGCUUAUCCAUCAGCCUUAGGACUUUUGAAUGUUCAAGUGAAAGUGUAAAUAGAAUAAGGUCACAGGUGAUUGACAAGUUCAAGUUACUUAGCUCAAUUAUCAAAAUUUUAUUUCUAAAUUAUGUUCAAUUUGAUUUUCCUGCUUGGCUAUAAAUGACCUUAGAAAAUCCAAUGGGAAUGGACAUUUUACACCAUGUCCCAUGUUCCAUGAUUUAUUUGUAAAGUCAUUUUGUGAUGUACACCUCCUUUAACGCUUCUGUAGAGACCAAGUCUUCACAAUUAGAUUUAGAAACACGGCUAUCAUCUUAAUUCAAAGGCAGUCACUUUAAAGACACACUAAUCACUACAUUUGAACAACUUUCUAAAAUGUUGCUAAAUUCCUAAGCGCAGGCAGAACCUGCAGACUGUUUAGAUUCAAAUUCUCUGGAUAUUAGUGUGCUAUAUUUAAUGGCUAUCUAUCUAAACAGUAGAUAAGAGUGCAAUUUGUAAAUAUAUACCCUACAACUCACUUUCCGCAUACUAUCUCAAAGUUCUCCUAUGCAUUUAUUUAAUAGAUAGUGAAGCUCUUCAGAUCAAGGCUCCUGCCGCCACAUCUGGAAAUGCUUCCUUGACUCUAAUCUGCCAUCCUCCACCUCCCCCCCACCGCAAGCUCCCUCCAGCCACCAGUGAGAGAAAUAGCUGAAGCCUCUUCUUCCACCAUUAUAUGAUAACAUCAGCUUUUAAUCAGCAAGAGGCACUCCUAUUUAAAUUUACAGGAUGACUCUUUCUUUCAUUUAUCUUUUCUUUUGGAGGAAAGUGAAACAAGAGCACCACCCUUAUUAAUUAUAAGAUUGAUGGGGUGAAAAAAGCCAAAUGAAUUUGGCUUGCAAAUUAUUAGUAGAGGUAUGAAUAUUUAUGACUUUGCCAGGAACUGCAGUCAUGAACCCUGGGUAUCAAGCUUGGGAGACAGUCAGGCCAGUGCAUUCAAUGAGGGUUCGGUCUCCCCAAAUCUGACAUGACAGAAAUGGAAACUUCUAAGUGAGACCAUCCACCCGCCCCCCGCCCCCCUUUUGGGGGCUAAUCUUGCUAAAUAUGAACUUAGUUCCAGUGGCCUCCAUUAUAAAUUUUAAAACUAUCUUUGAAGGUGAAAGCAGAUACCUUUAAGUUUUGUGAAGAAAAUCUCUGUGCUUUUCCCACUUGAUAGUCAUUGAUGCUUUAAAUAGAAUUUAUCUGCAAAAUAUUUGUGACAUACUUUUAAAAAUUUUAAAGCUAUUUUUAUUCCGUGUAAAAAUAUUGGAAACCUAAAAUAUCCUGGAUGUAAAGAUGAUUGAAAGGAACACAAUCUAAGUUAGACACAGAGAGAAAUGAGUGGGGAAGAAAACAGCAGGGGAAGAGAGAUGAGAAAACAAGUUUUCUCCUUCUUUGCUUGUUUUCCUUUUCCUGCACCAGACUUACAUUUUAGUCCCAAGGAGAGGAAAUUUAAAUGCAAGGUAGAGGAAAAAAGGCUCAAGGUAGAAAGGGAAAGGAUGAGGACAAGGACUUAAUAAUUCUAUAAAAGACAAAUUAUACCCUCCUCUUUUCCUUCUCUUGACUCUACAUUGGAGGGUUUUACAGUGCUUUGGGAAAGGAGCUGAGAGAAAAAAAAAAGAAAAGAAAAGAAAAAAAGAAAAGAAAAAAGAAAACAAGAAAAAAAAAAAAGAGCUGAGGAUUUGAGACUUAAUGAGCUCAACUAUCGUCUCACCACUGGCUUCUUUUCUGUAAAAGAAUUGUUGAGUGGAGGCUGACCCAAUCCUGUGAAAAUAGUUCACUCUGACAUCAGAGCCAGCUUAGUACAUACAUUUUGAAAAGGAAGACAAGUUGUUUUCAAAACAGAAAUGCUAAGCAUUCUAAAAAGCAUAAGCAAUUUAAAAAACGCUCCUCAAAUUUUCUGAAAAACUCCCAACUCAUAUGUAUAUAUACAUACAUUUUUAUAUACACAUACAUUUUUUUUCCCACAAUCGUAAGUGGAUAUUUGCGCUAAAUUGAUGCUUUAUGUAUAUCCUGUCUCAAUUUGUCUGUUCUCUGUAAGGAUGUAAUUUUUUUUAAAGAAGCGAUACCACUGACAACAAUUUACUUAAAUUCACAAACCUUGAAAUUGAUGCAUCUCCUAUCAAUCACUCUCGGUAGAUACAGUGAAACACAUUCAACAUUUGUACAUCAAUAGUGGCACACACACAAAUCUGUUUUGUUCAAUUUAAAUGCUCUUCAACAUGUCAUUUCUUAUUUUUCUGGAACAUGUUAUGGGUUAGUCAUCCUGUUUCAGCUGGCUGUUAAAUCCUUAACCUAAUGAAAAUUCAAAAUAGAAUAUUUAUUUGUUGUAGAUUUCAGAGUUGAAAGGUAGGCUUUGGGGACAAUUUGAUCAACCCCUCUUAUCUUUCAAACAAAGAAUUGGAGGUCUAAAGGUGGCAACUUGGAGUUCCCACUGUGACCCAGUGGGUUAGGAAUCCAGCUGCAGUGGCUCGGGUCAC